AGGCGGUAUAGCCAAGUGGUAAGGCAGAGGAUUGCAAAUUCUUUAUCCCCCAGUUCAAAUCUGGGUGCCGCCUA
rnacentral:tRNA from 1 species